GAUGAACGCUAGCGGCAGGCCUAAUACAUGCAAGUCGAGCGGCAAGUCGAGGAGUAAUCUAAGACCUAGAGCGGCGCACGGGUGCGUAACGCGUAUGCAACCUACCUUAUACUGGGGGAUAGCCCGGAGAAAUCUGGAUUAAUACCCCAUGGCACAUAUUGAUGGCAUCUGAGAUAUGUUAAAGAUUUAUUGGUAUAAGAUGGGCAUGCGUCUGAUUAGCUAGUUGGCGGUGUAACGGACCACCAAGGCGACGAUCAGUAGGGGUUCUGAGAGGAAGGUCCCCCACACUGGCACUGAGAUACGGGCCAGACUCCUACGGGAGGCAGCAGUAGGGAAUAUUGGGGCAAUGGUCGGAAGACUGACCCAGCCAUGCCGCGUGCAGGAAGACGGCCCUCUGGGUUGUAAACUGCUUUUAUCUGGGAAGAAAAAGGCCAAUGCGUGGCAAAUUGCCGGUACCAGAUGAAUAAGCACCGGCUAACUCCGUG
rnacentral:rRNA from 1 species